rnacentral:tRNA from 1 species
UCUCUCGUAGCUUAGUGGUCAUAGCAUUGGCGAGUAAAGCCAAAGAGCCCGGGUUCGAUUCCCGGCGGGGCUA